AGAGUUUGAUUCUGGCUCAGGACGAACGCUGGCGGCACGCCUAACACAUGCAAGUCGAGCGGAGAAAUUAAGAUGAACCCUUCGGGGUGAUUCUUAAUCUUCUUAGCGGCGGACGGGUGAGUAACGCGUGGGAAACCUGCCCUAUACAGGAGGAUAGCCUCGGGAAACCGGGAUUAAUACUCCAUAACACUAAACUUUCGCAUGAAAGAUUGGUCAAAACUCCGGUGGUAUAGGAUGGUCCCGCGUCCCAUUAGCUAGUUGGUGAGGUAACUGCUCACCAAGGCAACGAUGGGUAGCCGGCCUGAGAGGGUGAUCGGCCACACUGGAACUGAGACACGGUCCAGACUCCUACGGGAGGCAGCAGUGGGGAAUAUUGCACAAUGGGGGAAACCCUGAUGCAGCGAUGCCGCGUGAGCGAUGAAGGUCUUCGGAUCGUAAAGCUCUGUCCUUAGGGAAGAAACCAUGACGGUACCUAAGGAGGAAGCCCCGGCUAACUACGUGCCAGCAGCCGCGGUAAUACGUAGGGGGCGAGCGUUGUCCGGAAUCACUGGGCGUAAAGGGAGCGUAGGCGGCUUUGUAAGUCAGAUGUUAAAUCCAUUGGCUCAACCAAUGUAAGCAUUUGAAACUACAGGGCUUGAGUACAGGAGAGGAGAGUGGAAUUCCUAGUGGAGCGGUGAAAUGCGUAGAUAUUAGGAGGAACACCAGUGGCGAAGGCGACUCUCUGGACUGUUACUGACGCUGAGGCUCGAAAGCGUGGGGAGCAAACAGGAUUAGAUACCCUGGUAGUCCACGCCGUAAACGAUGAGUGCUAGGUGUUGGGGCCGACAGGCUUCAGUGCCGCAGUUAACACAUUAAGCACUCCGCCUGGGGAGUACGAUCGCAAGAUUAAAACUCAAAGGAAUUGACGGGGGCCCGCACAAGCAGCGGAGCAUGUGGUUUAAUUCGAAGCAACGCGAAGAACCUUACCAGGACUUGACAUCCCACAGAAAGCUUUAGAGAUAAAGCCUUCCCUUCGGGGACUGUGGUGACAGGUGGUGCAUGGUUGUCGUCAGCUCGUGUCGUGAGAUGUUGGGUUAAGUCCCGCAACGAGCGCAACCCUUGCCUUUAGUUGCCAGCAGGUUAUGCUGGGCACUCUAGAGGGACUGCCGGUGACAAACCGGAGGAAGGUGGGGAUGACGUCAAAUCAUCAUGCCCCUUAUGUCCUGGGCUACACACGUGCUACAAUGGUCGGUACAACGAGAAGCUAACCCGCGAGGGCAAGCAAAUCUUUAUUAAGCCGAUCCCAGUUCGGAUUGUAGGCUGCAACUCGCCUACAUGAAGUUGGAGUUGCUAGUAAUCGCGGAUCAGAAUGUCGCGGUGAAUGCGUUCCCGGGCCUUGUACACACCGCCCGUCACACCAUGGGAGUUGGUAAUACCCGAAGCCAUCGAGCUAACCUUUUAGGAAGCAGGUGUCGAAGGUAGGAUCAAUAACUGGGGUGAAGUCGUAACAAGGUAACC
rnacentral:rRNA from 1 species